UUGAAGAGUUUGAUCAUGGCUCAGAUUGAACGCUGGCGGCAGGCCUAACACAUGCAAGUCGAACGGUAACAGGAAACAGCUUGCUGUUUCGCUGACGAGUGGCGGACGGGUGAGUAAUGUCUGGGAAACUGCCUGAUGGAGGGGGAUAACUACUGGAAACGGUAGCUAAUACCGCAUAACGUCGCAAGACCAAAGAGGGGGACCUUCGGGCCUCUUGCCAUCGGAUGUGCCCAGAUGGGAUUAGCUAGUAGGUGGGGUAACGGCUCACCUAGGCGACGAUCCCUAGCUGGUCUGAGAGGAUGACCAGCCACACUGGAACUGAGACACGGUCCAGACUCCUACGGGAGGCAGCAGUGGGGAAUAUUGCACAAUGGGCGCAAGCCUGAUGCAGCCAUGCCGCGUGUAUGAAGAAGGCCUUCGGGUUGUAAAGUACUUUCAGCGGGGAGGAAGGGAGUAAAGUUAAUACCUUUGCUCAUUGACGUUACCCGCAGAAGAAGCACCGGCUAACUCCGUGCCAGCAGCCGCGGUAAUACGGAGGGUGCAAGCGUUAAUCGGAAUUACUGGGCGUAAAGCGCACGCAGGCGGUUUGUUAAGUCAGAUGUGAAAUCCCCGGGCUCAACCUGGGAACUGCAUCUGAUACUGGCAAGCUUGAGUCUCGUAGAGGGGUAGAAUUCCGUGUAGCGGUGAAAUGCGUAGAGAUCUGGAGGAAUACCGGUGGCGAAGGCGGCCCCGGACGAAGACUGACGCUCAGGUGCGAAAGCGUGGGGAGCAAACAGGAUUAGAUACCCGGUAGUCCACGCCGUAAACGAUGUCGACUUGGAGGUUGUGCCCUUGAGGCGUGGCUUCCGGAGCUAACGCGUUAAGUCGACCGCCUGGGGAGUACGGCCGCAAGGUUAAAACUCAAAUGAAUUGACGGGGGCCCGCACAAGCGGUGGAGCAUGUGGUUUAAUUCGAUGCAACGCGAAGAACCUUACCUGGUCUUGACAUCCACAGAACUUUCCAGAGAUGGAUUGGUGCCUUCGGGAACUGUGAGACAGGUGCUGCAUGGCUGUCGUCAGCUCGUGUUGUGAAAUGUUGGGUUAAGUCCCGCAACGAGCGCAACCCUUAUCCUUUGUUGCCAGCGGUCCGGCCGGGAACUCAAAGGAGACUGCCAGUGAUAAACUGGAGGAAGGUGGGGAUGACGUCAAGUCAUCAUGGCCCUUACGACCAGGGCUACACACGUGCUACAAUGGCGCAUACAAAGAGAAGCGACCUCGCGAGAGCAAGCGGACCUCAUAAAGUGCGUCGUAGUCCGGAUUGGAGUCUGCAACUCGACUCCAUGAAGUCGGAAUCGCUAGUAAUCGUGGAUCAGAAUGCCACGGUGAAUACGUUCCCGGGCCUUGUACACACCGCCCGUCACACCAUGGGAGUGGGUUGCAAAAGAAGUAGGUAGCUUAACCUUCGGGAGGGCGCUUACCACUUUGUGAUUCAUGACUGGGGUGAAGUCGUAACAAGGUAACCGUAGGGGAACCUGCGGUUGGAUCACCUCCUU
rnacentral:rRNA from 1 species